CCUCCGAGUUUGAGACUUUUCUAAGUUCAAAUAGAAUUAUACAUCAGCGAACGUGUCCUCACACACCAGAGCAAAAUGGAGUAGCAGAACGAAAGAAUCGGCACAUUACUAAGGUAGCAACCACCAUGAUGGAGUAUGCCAAUGUUCCAAAAUUUCUUUGGGCUGAAGCAAAAUCAACAGUUGUGUAUCUGAUCAAUCGAUUACCUUCCAGUGUUUUGGCCAACCGGAAAACUCCCACGUUCUUCCUUCAUGAUAAAGAUCCCGAUUAUAGUCGGUUACGAGUGUUUGAAUGCAUUGCUUUUGUUCAUCUUCCGGAGCGAGAACGGGAUAAACUCAGUCCCAGGGCAACUAAAUGUGUAUUUCUUGGAUAUGGGGAGCAUCAGAAAGGGUCUACCAACGCCGUGUGAAGCCUAUCUCUCUUGGGUCCUCUCCCUCAGCUGCUCCUGCUUCCAAUCAGUUGUCUUCUUCUCCUAUUGCGCAGGCAUCUACACAACCGUGUUAGGUAAAGGCCAUGGAUGAUGAGAUUUAGGCACUCAAGGAGAAUGCUACUUGGACGCUGGUUCCAUUACCUGAGGGGAAGCAAGUGAUAUGAAGCAAAUGGGUCUAUACUGUGAAAUUAAAAUCUGAUGGGAGCUUAGAUCAAUACAAAGCUCGGCUCAUGGCCCAGGGCUAUAAACAAGAAUAUGGAGUUGAUUAUGAUGAGACGUUCGCUCCAGUGGGAAAAAUAAAACGGUCCGUUCCUUAAUUG